GACGAACGCUGGCGGCGUGCCUAAUACAUGCAAGUCGAGCGAAGUCUUUCUGGUGCUUGCACCGGAAAAACUUAGCGGCGAACGGGUGAGUAACACGUAAAGAACCUGCCUCAUAGACUGGGACAACUAUUGGAAACGAUAGCUAAUACCGGAUAAUAGCAUUAACUGCAUGGUUGAUGUUUAAAAGUUGGUUUUGCUAACACUAUGAGAUGGCUUUGCGGUGCAUUAGCUAGUUGGUGGGGUAAAGGCCUACCAAGGCGACGAUGCAUACCCGACCUGAGAGGGUGGUCGGACAGCCUGGGAGUGAGGCACGGCCCCGACUCCUGGGGGAAGCCGCAGUAGAGAAUCUUACGCGAUGGACGAGUGCGUAACGGUGCAACGCCGCGUGAGUGAAGAAGGAUUUCGGUCCGUAGAGCUAUGUUGUUAGGGAAGAAUGAUAGUGUAGUAACUAUACACAGUAGAGACGGUACCUAAACAGAAAGCCACGGCUAACUACGUG
rnacentral:rRNA from 1 species